GUGCACUUAGCUCAGUGGUUAGAGCACCCUUCUAGAAUUCGGGUAAAAUAAGUCAUGGGUUUGAAUCCCAUAGUGCACA
rnacentral:tRNA from 1 species